rnacentral:lncRNA from 1 species
AUUUAGUGACCUAGAAUAAUAGAGUUCUAUGAAUGAUUUAUGUUGUUACAUGCUCGAUUUAGUGACGCGGGGGAUAAAGGAUUUUGUAUUUUAUGUACAAAUGGUUUGGGCUUGUAUGGAGUAUCCCUACCAAGGGUGUGUUUGUGAGUUAAAUUUUGGAGGGGAAGGAAGGGAAAUUGGAGGCAUGGGUGCCAUGAAAUAUACUUGUAAGAUGACUUUUAAGUCUCCUCUUUGUCUUCCUUACCCUCUAAAAUUCAACGCCCAAACGGACCCUAAGAAUAGUAGCCCGAUAGUUAAAGGGAGAUGGAAACCAAGAGAAGCUAUCAAGUAUUUUGAUGUAAACGGUUUGUAUUUGUCACAGACAUGAUUUAUGAUAAAACGUUACGACAUCAGUUUAGUUUUUUAGCUGACCCCACCUUGUGGGGAAAGACUUGCUUCAGUGUCGUUGUCUACAUGAAUGCUAUGUUAAUGGAUCAGACCUUUUGCCAAAAGUGCACUGGAUUAUACCAAUUUACUUCAUUAUGAGAAUAUCUAGUGCUACCUGAAAAAUGAAUUUCAAAUGAAUGUGCAGUGUGUCUUUAGAUAAUUUUAUUUGUUGCUGUGAAGAACUGCCAUCAAGUCAGAAUAAGCCAAUAAGGCCCAUUAAAACGUAAAAGUUGCUGUAUAUGUAAUUUGCAGAAAAGGGGAAAUUUUGCGGCUACGAAAUGUUGGGUGCCCAUUUUUCUUCUGACCCAUGCCAAUUUUGAGUAAAUAUGUUGGCUUCAGAUGAACAAAUAUUUUUUCUAUCCAAAGUUCCAAAAAUUUCGGUGUAUUUUUCAAUUGCAAACCCUUGCUCCCACAGUGAAAUGAAACAAUGCAUAUUCUUUCCCCCUUUGUAGGGCAAGAGAAGACUAGAUGAAGCUCAAGCAUCAGAGAUGGUGUCACUUGGAUUUGUUUCAAUUUUUUUGGUUUUGAAGUAUUGAGAACUUCUCUUCUGUAGAUUAGGUUGGAGGACAGGAGUUGAAGUUUAAUGCAAAAUAAAGUGUUGCCCCUAUCUCUCAAAACUUAACAAGGUGCCCUUACCGGAUCAUAUGAAUUUGUCUUUAGAAUCUUCAUUCCCCUUUCCUCUCAGGAAAGAGCUAUACUGGUUUGUCCUAUGAAAUUGCUGCUCUAGUUCAAACAAUGAUUUUGAAUUGGGUUAUUUAAUUUGAAAAGUGUGUGCUGGUGUUUGUACGUUUUGAUAAUUUUGUGCUAAUAUGAACUCACGUGAUUCUGAGUAGUCGUGCAACGUGACUUAACUGAACCUUUAUAUUAAUCGAUUUAUCUUAAAGAUAAUCAUAUGAAAAUCAAACUGAUUGAUUAUAUUCAUUCAGAUUGCAAUGAUGAUGUAUGAUGCAUACAGAGGAAUCAAGCAAAGUUGUGUGUAGAUGAACUCUAAAAGGUGUUCAAGUGAAGCUUAUUCUUUUGUUUUUGUAGGAUUUGAAAUUGUUACUUCACGUUUAUGAUGGUUAAACAAGAGUUUUCUGGGAGUUUUAGAUUUAUGAAAAAAAAUCUAGCAAUAAAAGUUUCUACUUUAUAAUUGUGCAUAUAGAUUUUUGGAUACUGUUGUUAGAUUGUGUGUAUACUGUAUGCACACAAUUCUGUAUGUCAGUUCUAUGCAUCUCAUGCUUUGGAGUGCAAAUUUCGUUAGAUGAUAGGAUAGAUGCCGAGUACAAAUUUUGUAGUUCUGUAACUGUUUUCUGUAUUCUGACAAUGUAGCUAUCUAUAUAGAAUGAGAUCUAUUUCACUGAGAUGUGGUUAGUAAAUCUUGGGCGCUACAGAUGCCAUAAUUGUAGCCUCACAAGUGUGUGUUUUGGCUGAGGUGCCCAAAGUAAGAUAUGGAAUUCCGUAAUUGGUUGUGUUUGCAAAGUGUAAACUAAACAAAUUGUUCAAAGGCAAAGCCAUUUUAUUUUCCUGGUUCCCAUUUCCCUAUUUUGACAGAACUUUUGUGUGCAAAAUUCCAUUUUGACCUGGCUGUUUCUUUGUUUAGGGUCGUGAUCAUUUGCUAUUUGGCUUAAUGCUUGCGGACUUGAGCCUCUUCAUUUAAACUUGCUUUGCCUUCCCUUGCUAGUUUUACAUGUCAGUUUGUAUAAUAUAUAAUUUAGUUAUGUUUAUAUAUCAUUAUGAUUAUUAUCUCGGCCUUUUCGAUUGGGU